rnacentral:rRNA from 1 species
UGGUGGAGUGAUUUGUCUGGUUGAUUCCGUUAACAAACGAGAUCUUGACCCUUCAAUGACAGUUGGAUCGACGUAAUCUCAUGUUCGAAGCGAUGCUUUGUCAUUGGAUGAGAUCCACACAUGUACUCAAGGGGACGAUGCAUGAAUACCAAUGCGUGGAAGUCCGAGCCAAUAGCA